UGGGGAAUCUUGCGCAAUGGGCGAAAGCCUGACGCAGCGACGCCGCGUGAGUGAUGAAGGCCUUCGGGUUGUAAAGCUCUGUGGAGAGGGACGAAUAAGUCGUGGCUAACAUCCACGAUGAUGACGGUACCUCUUUAGCAAGCACCGGCUAACUCUGUGCCAGCAGCCGCGGUAAGACAGAGGGUGCAAACGUUGUUCGGAAUUACUGGGCGUAAAGCGCGUGUAGGCUGCCCUGCAAGUCGGAUGUGAAAGCCCUGGGCUCAACCUAGGAAGUGCAUUCGAAACUGCGGGGCUGGAGUCCUGGAGAGGAUAGCGGAAUUCUCGGUGUAGAGGUGAAAUUCGUAGAUAUCGAGAGGAACACCGGUGGCGAAGGCGGCUAUCUGGACAGUGACUGACGCUGAGACGCGAAAGCGUGGGGAGCAAACAGG
rnacentral:rRNA from 1 species